GAUGAACGCUGGCGGCGUGCCUAAUACAUGCAAGUCGAGCGAACAGACGAGGAGCUUGCUCCUCUGACGUUAGCGGCGGACGGGUGAGUAACACGUGGAUAACCUACCUAUAAGACUGGGAUAACUUCGGGAAACCGGAGCUAAUACCGGUUAAUAUCUUGAACCGCAUGGUCCCAUAGUGAAAGACGGUUUUGCUGUUACUUAUAGAUGGAUCCGCGCCGCAUUAGCUAGUUGGUAAGGUAACGGCUUACCAAGGCAACGAUGCGUAGCCGACCGGAGAGGGUGAUCGGCGACACUGGAGCUGAGACACGGACCAGACUCCUACGGGAGGCAGCAGUAGGGAAUCUGCCGCAGUGGGCGAGAGCCUGGCGGAGCAACGCCGCGUGAGAGAUGAAGGUCUUCGGAUCGUAAAACUCUGUUAUUAGGGAAGAACAAAUGUGUAAGUAACUAUGCACGUCUUGACGGUACCUAAUCAGAAAGCCACGGCUAACUACGUG
rnacentral:rRNA from 1 species